rnacentral:tRNA from 1 species
CGGGAUGUGGCGCAGUUGGUAGCGCGCGCCGCUGGGGGUGGCGAGGUCGCAAGUUCAAGUCUUGUCAUCCCGACCA